UACGGGGGGGAGCAAGCGUUGUUCGGAUUUACUGGGCGUAAAGGGCGCGUAGGCGGUCGUGACAAGUCACUUGUGAAAUCUCCGGGCUUAACUCGGAACGGUCAAGUGAUACUGUCGGACUAGAGUACAGAAGGGGCAACUGGAAUUCUCGGUGUAGCGGUGAAAUGCGUAGAUAUCGAGAGGAACACCUGCGGCGAAGGCGGGUCUCUGGGCCGUAACUGACGCUGAGGAGCGAAAGCGUGGGGAGCGAACAGG
rnacentral:rRNA from 1 species